GAUCCGGUGGCCUAGUGGUUAGAGCGUCCGCCUCGGAUGCAGGAGGUCAUGGGUUUCUUUCUCCGGUCGAGUCG